AACGAACGCUGGCGGUAGGCCUAACACAUGCAAGUCGAACGGCAGCACAGGAGAGCUUGCUCUCUGGGUGGCGAGUGGCGGACGGGUGAGGAAUACAUCGGAAUCUACUUUUUCGUGGGGGAUAACGUAGGGAAACUUACGCUAAUACCGCAUACGACCUACGGGUGAAAGCAGGGGACCUUCGGGCCUUGCGCGAUUGAAUGAGCCGAUGUCGGAUUAGCUAGUUGGCGGGGUAAAGGCCCACCAAGGCGACGAUCCGUAGCUGGUCUGAGAGGAUGGUCAGCCACACUGGAACUGAGACACGGUCCAGACUCCUACGGGAGGCAGCAGUGGGGAAUAUUGGACAAUGGGCGCAAGCCUGAUCCAGCCAUACCGCGUGGGUGAAGAAGGCCUUCGGGUUGUAAAGCCCUUUUGUUGGGAAAGAAAUCCAGCUGGCUAAUACCCGGUUGGGAUGACGGUACCCAAAGAAUAAGCACCGGCUAACUUCGUGCCAGCCGCCGCGGUAA
rnacentral:rRNA from 1 species